UUCUGUGAAUGUACAGGCGACUAAAUUUCCAUUUGUCGAUCGGUGAAGUAGUUUUUCAUAUUGGCAUUUUGGCAAAAAGCUUUCCGACCGCAGGAUUACAUUUGAAGCACUGGUUAUACCAAAAACAAAUUUUCAUAGACAAAGCAAAAUACAAACAAUAUUAAUUCAACGUAUGAUUUUAAGUGUGGAAAAAAAAUGGUGACAAUACAAACAAUAUUCGUAACAAAAUUAUUAUGAAAAUUUGGGUUUUAAAAAGGAUUUUCUAAAAACAAAAAUUUAACUAUUAUUUAGUCAGAAAGUAUCACUUUUGACGUUCGGAAGUGAAUUUCAACGAAGUUUAUCACACACUUGCAGGUGG